AGUGAACGCUGGCGGUAGGCCUAACACAUGCAAGUCGAACGGCAGCACAGUAAGAGCUUGCUCUUACGGGUGGCGAGUGGCGGACGGGUGAGGAAUACAUCGGAAUCUACUUUUUCGUGGGGGAUAACGUAGGGAAGCUUACGCUAAUACCGCAUACGACCUACGGGUGAAAGCAGGGGAUCUUCGGACCUUGCGCGAUUGAAUGAGCCGAUGUCGGAUUAGCUAGUUGGCGGGGUAAAGGCCCACCAAGGCGACGAUCCGUAGCUGGUCUGAGAGGAUGAUCAGCCACACUGGAACUGAGACACGGUCCAGACUCCUACGGGAGGCAGCAGUGGGGAAUAUUGGACAAUGGGCGCAAGCCUGAUCCAGCCAUACCGCGUGGGUGAAGAAGGCCUUCGGGUUGUAAAGCCCUUUUGUUGGGAAAGAAAAGCAGCAGGUUAAUACCCCGCUGUUCUGACGGUACCCAAAGAAUAAGCACCGGCUAACCUCGUG
rnacentral:rRNA from 1 species